rnacentral:tRNA from 1 species
GCGGACGUGGCGAAACUGGUAGACGCAAGGGACUUAAAAUCCCUCGGAGAGAUCUGUACAGGGUUCGACCCCCGUCGUCCGCACCA